UUUUUAGAAAAUCCAAUCCGUAGUAAGAAACACACUAAUGUGGCUCUCUCCCGAGAGCCUCAAAUUUAUUUUCUUUUUUCUUCAGAAACAAUAAUACCAGAAUACCAGAAGCACCACCCAAGGAAGACCAUCAGCGCCACCAACACCAAUAAACAGUGAAAUCGCCUUUGUAUAUAAAUCUAAUGUAUUGUGUCAGGUUACUGUGCAAGAGUGGUAUGAUUGACCUCAACACAAGUAUUAAGGCAAAAGGGAAUCAACUUUAUUUGAGGCCAGAUACAUGGAACGGUUCCACCAGUUAUUUGUUAUCCCACCCCGGCACACAACAGAAUGAAGGCGGCACUUUGAGCAGUCGCCAUCGUAACACAUAAUAGUGGACUCUAGGACUUUUGCACUAACUUGGUUAGAAAAAGUCUGCAUGCCACUUUGGAAUAUCCAAAUCUGUCAACAGCAGCCGAGCUCUGGUGUUUCCAACCGGCAUGUCUAACAGUCCAGAUUGUAGGGUCAGAUUAAUAGCGGCUGCCUUUCUUCCUGGUUUGCCAGUUGGAAUCUCUUUAUACAACUUGUAGACAGGUCUACAUCUCAAAACCCGAUGACUUCCCGGACUGGCAUUAGUAGAAAGAUGAUGCAUAUGAAUUUCAUCCCUGAUCUCUGUGACACCUGUGGAAGUUGAGGGCAAAUCAUAAUCAGUUUGGGUUCCAGCCGAGGACCCCUGUAAACGUUGCUGUUUAGUGUUGACUUCAUGUCCGAGCUUGAAAAAGACGCCUUGCGUUUAUUAUGGCCUCUCAAAUUGGAAGAUAACAUAAAUGGCUUGUAUGUUGACUGUUGUGCAUAUCUAUGGGUCAGGAAAGUUGUAGGUACCAUCAACAUUGUAAAUCAUUUGACAGACCAGAAUGGAGAGUGAGAACUAUGAUUGAUCAGCCAUGUAUCAGAUUCCAUACUAGGGAGUGGGGAUCAUAAAACUGUUGUAGUGUUACAUAAUCAGAUUAUCUGAACUUAAUUGUCCUAUGUAAAUACAGCUAUGUAGGAGACAUUUUAAAAUUUAUAGGCACUGCAUGUUUCAACAUCUUAGAUUUGACCACAAUUUGGCUCUUGAAACUGCGUUAAGAGAGAAAAACUAAGAUCUUUUCGACGAAAAUGUUAAAAAAAUCUAAUAUUACAUGAUAAUUACUGUUUUAAAGGAUUUUCUUGUUUGAUUUAUAUUGAAUUUUUGUUAUCUUUUUACAGAAUGCAUUUAUGUUCAAAAAUAAAAAUGUUCUGUUUAAUUCAAAAUUCAUGUGCUUUUAAAUUUCUGUCUGAAAUUCCGCAGUUUUCUGAUGUAUUA